rnacentral:rRNA from 1 species
UAGGGAAUCUUCCGCAAUGGGCGAAAGCCUGACGGAGCAACGCCGCGUGAGUGAUGAAGGUCUUCGGAUCGUAAAACUCUGUUAUUAGGGAAGAACAAAUGUGUAAGUAACUAUGCACGUCUUGACGGUACCUAAUCAGAAAGCCACGGCUAACUACGUGCCAGCAGCCGAGGUAAUACGUAGGUGGCAAGCGUUAUCCGGAAUUAUUGGGCGUAAAGCGCGCGUAGGCGGUUUUUUAAGUCUGAUGUGAAAGCACACGGCUCAACCGUGGAGGGUCAUUGGAAACUGGAAAACUUGAGUGCAGAAGAGGAAAGUGGAAUUCCAUGUGUAGCGGUGAAAUGCGCAGAGAUAUGGAGUAACACCAGUGGCGAAGGCUACUUUCUGAUCUGUAACUGACGCUGAUGUGCGAAAGCGUGGGGAUCAAACAGG